GACGAACGCUGGCGGCGUGCCUAAUACAUGCAAGUUGAACGCUUGAUUUUCACCGAAGCUUGCUUCACCGAAAAUCAAGAGUAGCGAACGGGUGAGUAACGCGUGGGUAACCUACCUAUCAGCGGGGGAUAACUAUUGGAAACGAUAGCUAAUACCGCAUAACAAUGUUGGAUGCAUAUUCGACAUUUGAAAGUAUCAAUUGGUACACUGAGAGAUGGACCCGGGUUGUAUUAGCUAGUUGGUAGUGUAAUGGACUACCAAGGCGAUGAUACAUAGCCGACCUGAGAGGGUGAUCGGCCACAUUGGGACUGAGACACGGCCCAAACUCCUACGGGAGGCAGCAGUAGGGAAUCUUCGGCAAUGGACGAAAGUCUGACCGAGCAACGCCGCGUGAGUGAAGAAGGUUUUCGGAUCGUAAAACUCUGUUGUUAGAGAAGAACGUUGCAUAGAGUGGAAAAUUAUGCAAGUGACGGUAUCUAACCAGAAAGGGACGGCUAACUACGUGCCAGCCGCCGCAGUAAAAC
rnacentral:rRNA from 1 species